GUAGGUGGCAAGCGUUGUCCGGAAUUAUUGGGCGUAAAGCGCGCGCAGGCGGUUCUUUAAGUCUGAUGUGAAAGCCUACGGCUCAACCGUGGAGGGUCAUUGGAAACUGGAGAACUUGAGUACAGAAGAGGAAAGCGGAAUUCCACGUGUAGCGGUGAAAUGCGUAGAGAUGUGGAGGAACACCAGUGGCGAAGGCGACUUUCUGGUCUGUAACUGACGCUGAGGCGCGAAAGCGUGGGGAGCAAACAGGAUUAGAUACCCUGGUAGUCCACGCCGUAAACGAUGAGUGCUAAGUGUUAGGGGGGUUUCCGCCCCCCUUAGUGCUGCAGCUAACGCAUUAAGCACUCCGCCUGGGAGUACGGCCGCAAGGCUG
rnacentral:rRNA from 1 species